rnacentral:lncRNA from 1 species
AUGUCCUUUCGAAAGCCACCUCCUCCCACAAACUCCCCUGAUCCCCCUAAAUCAGCCUUAUCAACCGGCUGCUCUCACAUAACUCUGUUCUAUCUUCCUCAGAGCAUCGGGACCCUCAUCACGUUAUUCGUUCAUUCAUUUACUCUCUCUGUCCUCUAUGACCCUUUGUUCACAGGCGUUACUCUAAAAUGUACCCAGGACUCUGGUUUCACUCAGCGAAGGGGAGGUCAACAGGUCAGCAGGCCACCACAGCUGAAGGCACCACUUUCUUGCAGGUGAAGCUGACAGUCAUCCUCUUUAUUAUUUUUCAACUGACAUAGACUUUGAGUGAGAAAGCAUCAAAGCAGUACCUCCAAGACCAUCAAUGGUGAAGGCAAAAUUAAGCAUGAAAAACUUUUUUUUUUAAGCAUGAAAAACUUGAAAACAAAAAACAAACAAAAACCUCUUCCUAGAUUCUGUUGCCAGUUAAAGUCCAUGAUGAAUGUAAGUUUUUUCUAUCUUAAAAUUUUUCUAGCCCCUAUGAUACAUUCCACCAGAGAAAUACAUAAUUUAAGCUGUUC